rnacentral:lncRNA from 1 species
AUUGAUUCACCUCUUGAGCUGACUGAUCAUUUUGUCAUGUCUUGAAUUGCCUGGAUGAUUUCAUGAGUAUCUGCUUGCUUUGAUUCUGUGUGGAUACUGUCUACUACUUUUCCUUGUCCAGAUUUCUUGAGGACUGUAAUUUUGUCUGCUGAGUCUGUGUCACUUCCUUGAUGCCUUUUGAACUGUUCCCUGAUCUUCGUCUUGAUUUUGCCCAGGAGUGCAAAAGACUAAGUGUGGUCUAUUUUGAUGAGUCAAUAUUUUCUCGACUUUACUUAGUUUAUUGUGCUAGAAUUAAUCAGGGAAUUGUGCUUAAAUGUCCGGUAUUUUCCCGU